CCCACCGACUUUAACACGUAUAGCUGCUCCCGAGGUCCUUAGGCUACAUAAGGUGUGUGGGUUAAACACACACACACACCACAGAUUUUUGAUACAUUUCUUCUCUGCAGUGUAAGAGUUUAGAUAUAUAGGGUUUGGUGGGGUUUUUUUUUUAAAUCCAUUCUGCAUCUGAAUCGGAAGUUUUUAUGAGAAAGUGGUACAGUAAUAUUUUUAUGUUGUUCCUCUGUACUUCUUUUUUAUGCUGAGAUGUUCAAAUUCCCAUCACCCCUCUUUGAACUUUACCCAUUUGCUUGACUGAAAUAGUAACUUUUUGGGGGCUUUCCACAGAGCCAUUUGAUCUCAAAGGUAGUUUGUGCUGUCUUCAUGGGUUUCAUAGUUUGAGAAACAAUUCAAUAGCUUGGACUAGGCUAUUCUCUGUUUUAAAGUUAAAGUGGGGGGGAGGGGGGGGUGUCACAAAUGACAAAACUUAAAAACAUAAAUACAGUUACAAAAUCCAGAAAAAUGGCAGUUAGGUGCUUGACAAAUUCUUUUCCCUCCAUUUUUAGCUACAUUUUUUAAAAAAUAUAUAUUAUUGUUGAUUUCAGAGAGGAAGGGAGGAGAGAGGAAUAGAAACAUCAAAGAUGAGAGAAUAACAUUGAUCAACUGCCUCCUGCACACCCCCCAGUGGGAAUCAAGCCUGCAACCCAGGCAUGUGUCCUUGACCAUAAUCAAACCCUGGACCCUUCAGUCCACAGGCUGAUGUUCUGCCCCUGAGCCAGACGGGCUAGGGCUUGGCUACAUUUUUUAAUUGAUACAUAAUUGUUACAGUUCACCCAUUUAAAGUGUUUUUUGUUGUUUUCACAGAGUUGUGCAAUUAACAGUACAAUCACUUUUAGAACAUUUUUAUCACCCCAGAAAGAAACCCUAGCAGUCAUGAGCAGUCACUCUGCAUUUCCCAUUCACUCUUUGUCUUUUAAGGUUUGCCUGUUCUGAACAUCUAUGCAUAUAUAUAAAAGGCUAAUAUGCUAACUGUCCAACCGACCAACUGGUUGCUAUGGCACGCACUAACCACCAGGGGGCAGGAGCUGCCGAGUUGCAGUGAUUUGGCAACAGCGGUUUUCGGGUGACACACCACGAAACCAUAGAGGAGGGAGCCCGAUUCCUCACAGGGCUGCGUGAUUCUACCUUCGGCUGUGGGUUAUGUUGUUGCUGGGGCACUGUUGGUGCCAAAUCUGGUUUAAUGCACACUUGCAUUUGCAUUCCACACCUUCUAAUUAAUUUCCUUUCAAUGUACACAAAUCUGUGCACCAGCCCUCCUAUCCUAUAUAAUAAAAGGCUAAUAUACAAAUCAACCAAACUGCGGAACGACUGGUUGCUAUGAUGCACACUGACCACCAGGGGGCAGAUGCUCAACGCAGGAGCUGCCCCCUGGUGGUCAGUGAGCUCCCACAGGGGGAGCACCACUCAGCCAGAAGCCGGGCUCACGGCCGGUGAGCACAGCGGCGGUGGCGGGAGCCUCUAGUUUCAUAUACAUGGAGAUACACAAUAUGUGAUCUUUUGUGGCUGGCUGGCUUUCAGGUAGCACCAUGUUUUUAAGGUUCACACAGUAACAAGAAUGUAUCAGCGCUUCAUUCCUUUUAUAGCUGAACUAGAGGCCUGGUGCAUGAAAUCGUACACCAGUGGGGUCCCUUGGCCUGGCCUAUGGGAUCGGGCUGACACCGGCUCUCCAACAUCCCCCAAAGGGGUCCCAGAUUGCAAGAGGGUGCAGGCCAGGUCGAGGGACCCCACCAAUGCACAAUCGGGGCUGGAGAGGGACAUGGGAGGUUGGCCAGCCGGGGUGGGACCAUGGGAGGGCUCCUGGGUGUGUCCAGCCCGUCUCGCUCAGUCCCAAUCAGCCAGACCCCAGCAGCAAGCUAACUGAUCAGUCAGAGCAUCUGCCCCCUUGGUGGUCAGUGCAUGUCAUAGCUAUUGGUCAACCUGUCGACUGUCUGCCCCCUGUGGUCAGUGCACAUCAUAGCAACUGGUUGACCAGUCAACUCUCUGCCCCCGGUGGUCAGCGCACAUCAUAGUGAGCAGUUGAGUGGCCUUAACAUAUCAUUAGCAUAUUACACUUUGAUCCGUUGAACGGAUGACUGGACACUUAACAUAGUAGGCUUUUAUUAUAUAAGAUAAUAUUAUACUGUAUGGAUAUGCGACAUUUUGUUUAUUCAUCAGUUGAUGGACAUUUGCAUUGUUUCUACUUUUUUUUCUAUUAUGCAUAAUGCUGCUAUGAACAUACACAUUUUUGUGUGGACCUAUGUUUUCAUUUUUCUUUGGUUGUAUACCUAGGAAUAGACUUACUGGUUCACGUGUAACUUUAUGUGUAACAUUUUGUGGAUUGACAGACUUUUCUUAAGUGAUCCUUAUUUUUUUUAAUUGAUGUUCCCCCUUACUGAGUAUCUCUUAUUUAGUCAAAAUAAGACUAAGAGCUGACUCUGCAUUAGAACAAUAUUAUAAUAUAUAGUUCCUGAAAUAACUAAAAAUACACCCAUUAAGCAGAAUUUUUCUUUUGGAGAUGUUCAUAGUGCCUUAUGGGCAUCUUUUACUAACUUUGAUAGCCUUGUGUGUACAUUAGAAUAGGAAUAUUUUCAGCUAAGGAAAUGACAAAUUACUGUAAUGGAAAGUCAUACUUUCUCCUCAUUUGUGACUUACUCCAAGUCUCACAUGCCUGUAUUGAGAUAGAAACAUCUUUUAUUAUCCUUAGAGCACACUAGGAUGGCCUAUUUUAUGUAUUUAUUAAUUACAUAUAUGUCUGUGUGUCUCGGAACACUUAAUUAUGCACAUUUCUAAAUAUGGUUCUAUGUUGUACUACAGCAAACUUUAAGGCAGUACUGUUUUUUGGUUUGUUUGUAAUGACACCAUCUGUUUCAUUGAAAAGUCUCGCAAGAAGAAUGAACCAGUGCUGUCCAGUGAAUUUUAUUUAAUCCAGUAUUACCAUUGUAACAUGUAAUCAAUGUUCAAAAAAGAAAUCGUUUAUAUUUUUUCAUACUAAGUCUUCAAAAUCUAGUUCAUAUUUUACACACAGUUCUAUCUCAGUUUGGACAAGUUAUUUAUCAGGUGCUUAAUAGCUGCCUGUGGCUGUCUACCUUAUUGGACAGCACAGAUAUAGAAUAUAGCAUAUAGAGUGAAGUAAUUGUAGCAUUUUUCAGUUUAUGAUCAAACAUUCUUUCAAAAUUAUGAAGAGUACAAAGUCCUAGAGCUUCGUUUAAUCUGAUCUCUAACUUUGUGACCUUGGGAAAAUCAGACUUAGGGUUCUUCUUUCUCUAAAACAAGAGGUACUGUUUCAUGAGUGUUGUGUAGUUUAAUAGGUUGUUAGGAAGAUGCCUAGCAAUUCUCUGAGCAUUUUAUCACUUUCAGCUUUUCUCCUUGAGAGGAAGAAAGAGGGUUUAAAAGGAUUCUGUGUAACUUUUUCUUUUACUCCUUUAUUUGCAAUUGCCUCUUGUUUUUUUUUUUUUUUCUCUGUCUUCAUAUAUAAUUUAAGUUGAGCUUAAAAUUAAUGGGGAAUGUUUUUUUUUAGAAACAUCUUAUUGCUUAUUGAAGAGUAUUUUUGGCACAAGGAAUCAGUGACUUUUCUAAAGUCAUAAUUUCUAAGUCAUUGAGUCAAAACUUAUUCAUGGCUUCCAAUCUCAUAUUUAUUCCUAUCUUUGAUUCAGCCAUACUGGCUCCUCCAAAUGGGUCAUGCUAACUUCUUGAGAGAGAAAAGCACCAAACAAGGCAUAUGUCAGUAUCCAUUUAAAAUAAUUUACAGGAACUGUCAGAUUAUAUCCAAUCUUGGCUUCUUUAAUGUAGAGGAUUAUCAUUAUUAGUUUGAGAAUAGUAACUAUAAGAAGGAUAUGCACAGUGCAACACAGGAAAUGGUUAGUGACCAAACUUCAAAUAAAAAAUUUGUCAGGAUAAAGCAAAUUAAGCUCAUCCAGUUUGGGGGGCGGGGGGAGAUUGGUCGUUGGUUUUGUUUUUAAUCCUUACCUGAGGAUAUGUUUUUCAUUGAUUCCUAAGAGAGAAAAACGACUGGUUGCCUCCCGCACUCUCCCGAUUGACCCAGAAUCAAAUAUAAGGCUCUUCGGUGCACGGUGCACAGGACGAGCUCUAACCAAGUGAGCUACACAGUCCAGGGCACAUCUAGUUUAUGUUUUUAAAGUAGAGAGGGAAUUCUCUAGUAGACUUUGUAAUAAACCUACAUAAUUUUUAUAGAAGUUCUGAGAGUAUCCAGUUAGGAAAGUAUCCAGGUUUGAAUAGAACAUAAAUUAUGUUCAGAGAAUAAUUAGAUCUUUUUUAAAAAUACAUAUUUUAUUAAUUUUUUUUACAGAGAGGAAGGGAGAGGGAUAGAGAGUUAGAAACAUCGAUGACAGAUAAACAUAGAUCAUCUGCCUCCUGCACACUCCUUACUGGGGAUGUGCCCACAACCAAGGUACAUGCCCUUGACCGGAAUCAAACCUGGGACCCUUCAGUCCGCAGGCCAACGCUCUAUCCAAUUAGGGCAAGAAUAAUUAGAUCUUAUAAACACACAGCUUCAAGGAAAAAAACUCACCCUGAAUACAAAAGAAUAUUAAAAUACUGGAAACUUGAUUGUCCACAGAACAUAAAAUAUGAAGUCAGCUUGAACUUAAAAAAAAAAUAGUUUCUUGAGGAGUUUAAUGAAUUGAUCAGCUAUUU